rnacentral:tRNA from 1 species
GGGGACGUAGUGUAGCCCGGUUUAUCACGCCUUCCUGUCACGAAGGAGAUCGUGGGUUCAAAUCCCAUCGUCCCCGCCA